AUAUUACUCCCUCCGUACGGAAUUACUUAUCGUGGAAAUGGAUGUAUUUAGACAUAUUUUAGUUCUACAUACAUCCAUUUUUAUCUAUUUUUGCGACAAGUAAUUCGGGACGGAGGGAGUAUGUA
rfam:Triticum aestivum genome assembly, contig: Triticum_aestivum_CS42_TGACv1_scaffold_471242_6AL